GAAACCAACAGGGAUUGCCCUAGUAACGGCGAGUGAAGCGGCAACAGCUCAAAUUUGAAAUCUGGCGCAAGCCCGAGUUGUAAUUUGUAGAGGAUGCUUCUAGGCAGCGGCCGGUCUAAGUUCCUUGGAACAGGACGUCAUAGAGGGUGAGAAUCCCGUAUGCGACCGGUUGGCACCUAAUACGUAGCUCCUUCGACGAGUCGAGUAGUUUGGGAAUGCUGCUCUAAAUGGGAGGUAAAUUUCUUCUAAAGCUAAAUACCGGCCAGAGACCGAUAGCGCACAAGUAGAGUGAUCGAAAGAUGAAAAGCACUUUGGAAAGAGAGUUAAAAAGCACGUGAAAUUGUUGAAAGGGAAGCGCAUGCAACCAGACUUGUCGGCGGUGUUCCGCCGGUCUUCUGACCGGUCUACUCGCCGUCGGCAGGCCAGCAUCACUUGGGGUCGUCGGAUAAAGGCCCGGGAAUGUAGCUCCUCGGAGUGUUAUAGCCCGGCGCACAAUACGGCGCAUCCCGAGUGAGGUCCGCGCUUCGGCUAGGAUGCUGGCGUAAUGGUUGUUUGCGGCCCGUCUUGAAACACGGACCAAGGAGUCUAACAUCUAUGCGAGUGUUCGGGUGUCAAACCCCUACGCGUAAUGAAAGUGAACGGAGGUGGGAACCGCAAGGUGCACCAUCGACCGAUCCUGAUGUCUUCGGAUGGAUUUGAGUAAGAGCAUAGCUGUUGGGACCCGAAAGAUGGUGAACUAUGCCUGAAUAGGGUGAAGCCAGAGGAAACUCUGGUGGAGGCUCGCAGCGGUUCUGACGUGCAAAUCGAUCGUCAAAUUUGGGUAUAGGGGCGAAAGACUAAUCGAACCAUCUAGUAGCUGGUUCCUGCCG
rnacentral:rRNA from 1 species